rnacentral:rRNA from 1 species
UACGGGGGGUGCGAGCGUUUGUCCGGAAUCACUGGGCGUAAAGGGCGCGUAGGUGGCGUGAUAAGGGUGUGGUGAAAGCCCGGGGCUCAACCCCGGGUCUGCCAUGCCGACUGUCAGGCUCGAGUGCUGUAGGGGCAGGCGGAAUUCCGGGUGUAGCGGUGGAAUGCGUAGAGAUCCGGAGGAACACCAGCGGCGAAGGUGGCUUCCUGGACCAGAGCUGACACUGAGGCGCGAAAGCGUGGGGAGCGAGUCCGG